GGCAGAUUUGGAGCCGGCUGUCGCUUGAUUUCGUUGAUUUUAUAUCUUUGCUGAUGCGAUUUGACAGCCUAUUGCAGAUCUGCUUUGCCAGGGGAUUUCGGCUUUGUAGAAGAUAGCGUUUGAUUUGCUUCUUGGCCUCAAUCAACUGGAGAGUCUGGCUUUUGACUCGAAACCUAGAUCUGGUUAUCUUGCGUGGACACUGCGCAUUGGCAAAGUUUGCAGCAUCUUGGACGUUUUUGACAAGAAUAUCAACAUCAUCUGGACUGCUGAUUUCAGUGUUGAAAGAUGGCCUUUUGCUUUGCUGAUGAUCGGCUUCUCAACCAGCUGGACUUGCAAUGGGAGGUGAUCCGAGUUUAGCUCGAAAGAGUCAGUGAUGGCCAGCAAAUCUCGCCUGAUGCCUUUGAAAAGCGCAAAGUCUAUGGCAGAUGGAGUUUGGCGUGAGUUGAAAGGGAUCUGGCGUUUCCCCACCAUUGGCUCUUUGCGUUCCAGUCACCACCUACAAGAUACGUGUCGCCCAGCAAAUUCAGAAGAUUGCUGAAGUCUUGCGCAGUCCAGCUUACUUGCGGUGGGCAGUAAAUGGCCACAAUAUUUACGUGCUUGCCGUUUUGUAAGCUGACUGAUACUUCAACACUUUGGUGCGAGUCCAAGGAUGAGCAGCGCAUAGCGUAAUGGCAGAUGUUUUGUUUGAUUAUAAAAGCUGCGCCACCUCUGCGCCUAUUUGUAGGGUGGUUUGCCAAAUAAAUUAUGUAUCCGUCAAUUACAAUGUUGUCCUUGUCCGUCAGAUGGGUUUCAGAUAUUAGCAUAAUGUCUAUAUUAUGCUUAAUAACAUAUUGCUUUACUUCAAUAAGCUUAUUUGUAAUACCAGCAGCAUUCCAUAUGGAGAUGUUAAUGUUGUUGGUACUAUUAGAUACAGCAGUCUGCAGUGUGCAGCUGCGUCUAUUAGCAAUAUGUGCAUCAGAUACAUUAUUAGACAUUUAUGUGCUCACUUGGACCAACUCUAGCUAAUAGGCAAGCAGUCAAUGUGGUCAUCAUCUCUAUAAGUUUGUCAAUUUUGGCCUCUAAUCUAGAGUUAACUUGUAAUGGCAUAGCUGGCAUGUUAGCAUAUCUAGGCUGCUCAAAAUUAAGAGGAAAGCCCACCCCAUUACUAUGGUGUGUCACCCCAGAUACAAUAGGAGGGGGCCUACGGCGAGUACUUAAGCUGCGGCUUCUGUUUGGCUGCGCUGGCCGCUGAGCGCUUGCUUGCCUAGACAAUCUGGCUUGUUGUUGUUGUUGCUGUUGUUGUUGGGCACGUUUAGUGAUAUUCUGCCUUGAUUGGCGUUGCUGGCUAUUAUUGGCUGCCGGCGCCGCUGGCUGCUUAAAUUGGAGACCCGCCCGGAGGGCAGAUGCGUAGCUGGGCCCAGCAUUAGCAGUUUGAGGUCGUGGCUGAGGGGGGGCUUGCUGAAAAAGAUUUGGCAAGUUUGUUCUACUGCCCUGAACAGUUGUAGUGGGAGCUGGCUUUGUUAAAGUCCUUAUAAUCUGGCUGAGCUGUGCCGCCGAUUCGGGCUCUCGCUUCUUGCAGGCCUCUUUGUAGGAGGGGCAUCCCUUGUAACUCGCAGCGUGUGGGCCCGAGCAGUUGGCGCAUUUU
rnacentral:sRNA from 1 species